GAAGAAAGACUUCUCGACGCCGAGACACUGCUGGUGGUACUCGAUGUAGAUCACGUGGAUGGCAGGAGCAGUGGCAAAGGACUUUCAACUGACAGACAAGCAUGAGAUGGUGGUCAGCUACCUCCCACUCAGCCAUAUUGCAGCACAGAUGAUGGACAUCUGGGUACCCAUAAAGAUUGGGGCGCUCACAUACUUUGCUCAAGCAGAUGCUCUCAAGAAUUGGUCCAGUGAUUUGUUUUGACUGACAGAAAGGAGCAGAAGGGAUGCUGUGGAAAUUCUGGGACUGACAAAUCUUUGGGACCACUUGCUGUUGGGAGAGUCAGCCACCAGGUUAAGAAGUUCAAGAGUGAUGGCCAAGCGUGGUGGCUCAUGUUUGUAGUCCCAGCACUUUGGGAGGCCAAGGCGGGUGGAUCACCUGAGGUCAGGAGUUCGAGACCAGCCUGGCCAACGUGGUGAAACCCCAUCUCUACUAAUAAUACAAAAAUUAGAUGGGUGUGUUGGCACACGUCUGUAAUCCCUGCUACUCAGGAGGCUGAGGUGGGGGAAUCGCUUGAAAUUGGGAGGCAGAGGUUGCAGUGAGUCGAGAUUGUGCCACUGCUCUCCAACCUGAGCGACAGAGCAGACUCUGUCUCAAAAAAAAAAAAAAAAAAUAGUUCAAGAGUGAUGUCCUCAUGUUGGUCCUGUAAGCUACCCACAGACAGCAUGACCCUGCCCAGAGCCCUGUGGCUUGGGCUCAGCGUGGCUGACAAGUGUCAUCUUCCCUAUUGUGGAAAGCCUUGUGGUUUGGAACCAGAAGGAUAUGAAUGAGAAUCUGCCACUUGCUAACAGUGUAUUGAUACGUGAUGGCUGACAACGGACAUCAGAUGUCAGUUUUCAGGAAGAAGAUCAAAAUUACUGGUAAAUGGAUAAGUUUUGAACUGAAAAUGGAGGAAGGAGAGGCAGGACCUCUUGGAGUGCCCACAGGAAGAAGCUGCGGCGUAGGAAAGGAAAGCUGCAAGGGCCUGUCAAAGAUCAGCUCCUGAGGAACUCAGAGCCCCAUGGAAAGGAUAGGUGGGAGUGCUUCUUUGCUUCCCACUCGCCUUUGACAAUAUCCUGGUCACUAAACUCUCAGGGAGCUCCUCUGCCCUUGCAACCCAGGCCAACACCAUCGGUGCUGAUUAGAGAACUUCCCAGGGACAGAGAACCAGGUGGUCAGUUCACACAGGCAUGCCCACACUCCCCUCAGACCUGAACUGAGACAGCAGGCACCACACUGGUUGUGCACCUGUGGUGCCACUGCCCUGCCUGGGGAUUCUCUGCCCUUGACCCACUGCACCACCAGAUUCCCCACAAACAUACCCCACAACGCGCUGUGACUUUGGCAAGCACAAGGGACCAGUGAGCCUCUGGGGGGCCGCAGGAUCCCUGAAGAUCUAACCCUUGGCAUGGGUAACCCCUAAAGGAGGAGGAGAAUGCAGCCCACCAAAGCCCCCCUUGGGACAAAGGAAAUGUGGGUGUGGCACAAACCACUGGAGUGGGCAGCACCCAUGCCUGGGAAAAGACAUGGAGAAGGGGUCAUUUCCCACCUGCCCUCCCACCCCACACUGCUGCCAGGAACUAAAGGAUGAAGCCUUUAUAAACAGAAGAUUGUGAGCCCCAUGACAGGGGUGUGAUAGAGAAGCGGACUGCAUUCCUGCUGGCUGAGGACAAGGAGCUGGUGCAUUCCCUGCCCCUACCCCUGAGACCUCAGUGCACCCCAUCAUGAUCUCUUCCUGCUACCUCCAUCAGGGUAUGCAUGCCUACUUGGCACCAGCCUACCUGCUGGUUCUAACUUUUAAGUGCGAUCUACUGGACUGCAUCCUGCACUGCACCACCAAACAAAAAUCUUGCUACUGGAAGGGUUUAUUGACAGUGCAUGAGAUAAGCCUCCUGAGACCUCCACACCCUCAGUCCUGCAGGAGAUAGUGUUGGCUGUUAUGUCCAUUACAUCAUUACAACAAGCAGCAUCUGAGAAAGCCACUGCAUAGAAGCUGUCCACAACCAUGGAACCCAUACAGACCUUAGCCACUGCACAGAAGCUGUCCACAACCAUGGAACCCGUACAGACCUUAGCCACUGCACAGAAGCUGUCCACAACCGUGGAACCCAUACAGACCUUUGGCCCCCAAAAGCACUCAGAAGCAAGGCCAUACAAUCACACACAACAUACACCACAGCCAUACCCUCAAGGGAAACUAGAAUUAAAAAAUACAAAAGCCCCAUCCAAACAAUAGAAGAUUCAAAAACAAGAAGUGACAGCUCCCUCAGAUAAGAAGGAAUCAGUGCAAGAAAUCUGGCAGUAGAAAAAGCCAGAGUGUUUCAACACCUCCAAAGAAUCUCACCAGUUCUCUAGCAAUGGGUCCUCAUCAGACUGAAAUGUUUGAAAUGACAUAUAAAGAAUUCAAAAUAUGAAUUGGAAGGAAACUUAAUGAGAUCCAAGAGAAAGUUGGAAACCAAUAUAAGGAAACUAGAAGAACACUUCAAUAUAUGAAAUACAACAUAGAUAUAUUAAGAAAAAACCAAAUUGAACUUCUGGAAUUGAAAAUUUCACUAUAGAAAUUUAAAAAUAUAGUUAGACUAGACCAAGCAGAAGAAAGAAUUUCAGAGCUUGAAGAAUGGUCUUUCAAACAACUCAGACAAAAGUAAAGAAAAAAGAAAUAAAAAACCCAAAGUAUUUGAGAAAUGUGGGAUUAUGUAAAGCAACCAAACCUGUGACUUAAAUGCAUUCCUGAGAGAAAAGAAGAAAAAUUAAGCAACUUGGAAAACAUAUUUGAGGGAGUAAUACAGGAAAAUUUACCUAAUCUUGCCAGAGAGGUCAACAUCUAGAUAUGAGAAAUCCAGAGAACUCCUGUGAGAUGCUACACAAUAUGGCCACCCCCGAGGCAUAUAGUCAUCAGACCAAGGUCAAUGUAGAAAAAAAAUAAAUCUUAAAGGCAUCUAGAGAAAAGGGCCAAAUUACAUAUAAAGGAAAUUCCAUCAGACGUACAGUGGAUUUCUUAGCAGAAACCUCACAAGCCAGAAGAGAUUGAGGGCCCAUUUUUAGCCUUCUUAAAGAAAAAUAAAUGCCAGCCAAUAAUUUUAUAUCCCACUAAACUAAGUUUCAUAAAUGGGAAAUAAAAUAUUUCUCAGAUAAGCAAAUGUAAAGGAAUUUGUCAUCACUAGAUCAGCCCGAAAAGAAAUGCCCAAAGGAGUUCUAAACAUGAGAACAAAAGAACAAUACUUGCUACCAUAAAAGUACAUGUAAGCACAAAGCCCACAGACCCUAUAAAGCAACUAAACAAUCAAGAAUACAAAGCAAAAACACAUGACAGGAACAAAACCUCACAUAUCAAUAUUAACCUUGAACAUAAACAUCCUAAAUACAGCACUUAAAAGACAUAGAGUGACAAAUUUGAUAAAAAAUAAUAAUAAAUAAGACCCAACCUGCUGCUGCCUUCAAGAGACCCAUCUCACAUGUAAUGACACUCAGAGGCUCAAAGUAAAGGGAUGGAGAAAGAUCUAUCAUGCAAACAGAAAACAAAUAAGAUGAGAGGGUGCUACUGUUUUAUCCAAUAAAACAGAUUGUAAACUAAUGACAGUUAAGAAAAAAAAAAAGACAAAGAAAGGCAUUAUAUAAUGAUAAAGGGUUAAAUUCAACCAGAAGAUCUAACCACCCUCCCAACAUCAGAGCCCCCAGAUUUAUAAGACAAGUACUACUAGACUUAAGAGAUAGCCAUACAAUAAUUGUGAGGGACUUCAACACCCCACUGACAGACAGAACAUUGAGGCAGAAAAUAAAGAAAUACUAGACUAAAUUGGACAGUUGACCAAAUGGACCUAAUAGACAUCUUCAGAAUACUCUACCCAGUGGCCUCUGAAUAUACAUUUUUCUCAUCUGCACAUGGAACGUUCUCUAAGAUUAACCACAUGCUAGGCCACAAUGAAAGUCUUAAUAAAUUUAAAAAAAUCAAAAUCAUACCAAGCAUCUUCUCAGACCACAGUGGAAUACAAUUAGAAAUCAAUACCAAGAGGAACCCUCAAAACCACACAAAUACAUGGAAACUAAGCAACUUGCUCCUUAAUGACUUUUGGGUAAACAAAUUAAAGAAGCAAUAAAAACAAUCUUUGAAACAAA